rnacentral:lncRNA from 10 species
GGUGGGGAACAACUCCUACUAACCCUUUGAGAUGCUGAGUUUUCUUUUAAAGUAAAGGAAAUAUUACAAGAUUUUCUGAAACUGCCAACCUUUAGCAAUAUUUUCAGACAUUCUCCAACAUUUUCCUUUGUCGGCAAUCAGAGAUGACCUUUGUCAGCAAUCAGAGAUGACCUCCACACUGAGGCGAAUGUUCCACUCCCCUUACCCUUUUCCUUUUGUCUCUCUUUCCCUCCUCUCUUCAUCCAGUAACUCCAGUUAGCCUCCAUUGUCUCCAAGCCGGCUUUUGUCCUCAUCCACAACGCCUCCACACAAGCUCUGAACACCUGUCCAUUGCUAACUUGAGACUGCCAUGCUGUUAGGAAGUUCAAGUUCACCACAUGGAGAUGAAAUAAGAUAUCAUGAUAAACAUCCCCAGCUGAUCCCAGCCUCCAGUGAUCCAUCAACUACAUAUAUGAUCCUAAGUCACAUGUGUGACCCCGAGCAAGAUCAGCAGAACAAUCACUCAGCCAACCCACAGAACCCUGAAAAAAUAUAAAUCAUUAUAGUUUAAACCACAAGUUUUGGGUAGCUUGUUAUGCUGCUAUUGAUAAUUAAAACAAACUGGAAUAUUUUCAUCUAGA